rnacentral:rRNA from 1 species
GCCUGGCCCUAAAUCUAGAUGUUUACCCCCACCAAAACAUCCGCCCGAGAACUACGAGCACAAACGCUUAAAACUCUAAGGACUUGGCGGUGCUCCAAACCCACCUAGAGGAGCCUGUUCUGUAAUCGAUAACCCACGAUGCACCCAACCCCCCCUUGCCCCAAGCAGCCUACAUACCGCCGUCCCCAGCUCACCUUCUCUGAGAGCUUAACAGUGAGCAUAACAACGCCGCUAACAAGACAGGUCAAGGUAUAGCCCAUGAGGGGGAAGAAAUGGGCUACAUUUUCUAGAUUAGAAUACGAAAAGAGGCCUGAAAUAGCCUCUAGAAGGAGGAUUUAGCAGUAAAGAGGGGUAAGAAUACCCUCUUAAACUCGGCCCUGGAG